UGCAGUCGAACGAGCGACCCGGGCUUGCCCGGUUAGCUAGUGGCAGACGGCUGAGUGACACGUAAGUAAUUUGCCCCGAAGAGGGGGAUAAUCCAGAGAAAUCUGGCCUAAUACCCCGUACCUUUCCCUUGAGCACGCUUGAAGGAAAGAAAGGUUUCGGCCGCUUUGGGAGAAGCUUGCGGCUUAUCAGGUAGUUGGUGGGGUAAUGGCCUACCAAGCCUAAGACGAGUAACCGGUGUGAGAGCACGAUCGGUCAGAGGGGGACUGAGACACGGCCCCCACUCCUACGGGAGGCAGCAGCAGGGAAUCUUGCGCAAUGGGCGAAAGCCUGACGCAGCGACACCGCGUGGAGGAUGAAUGUCCUAGGAUUGUAAACUCCUUUUAUCAGGGAAGAGAAAGGACGGUACCUGAUGAAUAAGGUUCGGCUAACUACGUGCCAGCAGCCGCGGUAAUACGUAGGAACCGAGCGUUGUCCGAAUUUACUGGGCGUAAAGAGCGCGUAGGCGGUCAGUUAAGUCUCAUGUGUAAUCUCCCGGCUCAACUGGGAGGGGUCAUGGGAUACUGGCAGACUAGAAGAUAGCAGAGGAAAGCGGAAUUCCAGGAGUAGUGGUGAAAUGCGUAGAUACCUGGAGGAACACCAGAGGCGAAGGCGGCUUUCUGGGCUAUUCUUGACGCUGAGGCGCGAAAGCGUGGGGAGCGAACCGGAUUA
rnacentral:rRNA from 1 species